rnacentral:lncRNA from 1 species
CUUGUCCUAAAAGGCUCAUUGCUGAAGUCCUUUAUCACCUUUCUGCUGAACGAUAUGAUGAAUAAUUAACUUCUCUGACUAAUCACUCCUGGGCUUUAUACACUGAGAGCCUUGUAAAGGAGCACUUCUACUUCCCAGUUUAAAUAUUAAAAGCAAUAGCAAAACAUUAUUAUAUCAGUAUCUCCUGCAGCCCAGCAGGACUUUCGGAGGUUAAACAGUCGCCAGAGCAGCAUAUCCUUGCGUUUCCCAGGCAGUGCAGCAUCCUGCUCGGCCACAAACUCUUCCUGGCAGGGCAAGAAGCGGCGCUAGAGCUACCUGUGUCGGGGCAAUACCGUGCUGAGAGAGGGGAGAGCUUCGGUAGCAGUGCGCAGCCUGUUUGCUUCCUAUGAUUUGAACCGCAAAAUGAAAUCAACCCAUAGUGGGGCAAAUAAUAGGCCAGCAGCGAACCCGAGGAAGCGUGCCACCGGCAGGUCUCCGUGUCUCCUCUGGCCAAGAAAGAGGUUCAACGCGAGAGUGUGUUUGAGCAGGAAGAAUAAGAUGCCUCUGCGUCUCCUGGAACGAGGUGGUGAGACAACGUGGGGAGAAGACACCAAACACAGGGUUGAUGAGGUCCUGCCUGCUCCAAUGUGACUCUUUGUGAAGACUUGAUCAAAUGAAUGCCGCUUCUCAAACAGCUGGAGAAGUGUGCGGAGGCUGCUUGAGGAACAGGAGGAGCCCUUGCGGGACGUCGGGAGGGUUUCCGCAGUCGACAAGAGAAGGAGGUUUCCUGAGCUCCAGCGCAGCGGUGGAGGAACACGAGGCAGGGGAGGGUCUGCAGUCCUGAGCGAGCUCGGUUUUCAGGGCAAGUCUGAAUUCCACCUGGGACGAUCGGGAAGCCAGGGCAGGCUGGGAGAGGCAGAUGUGCUUUCUGCAUGAAAUCCCAACACAUGACCCGGCCAUCGGCCAAGCGGCUCUCCAGUGAAGCCCGCAAGCUGUGUUCCUUCGCUGUAGACAGCCCUGUUUUUCCGUGCGAGCCGGCGAGCGUGCGUAUGACUAACUGCUCCUGGGUGGUGUUUAUCAGCCUCAGCAGCUGUCGGCAAAUUCAACCUAUACGGCAGGAAACAAGAGAAGCCUGUCUCGCGCCUGCUUCGUUGCAAACGCUUUCUGGGUUUUGGACUGCUCAGCCUCAGAUGGGACUCUGCAUACUUUUCAUCAGCUGAAAUCAGCAGUCAAGCUGGCAAAAAAAAAGCACUGCUUUUUUUCUUUUUUCUUUUUUGGCCCUGUUCUGGUGCGGCGCUGGUGCCUGUUGCGCCUGGGUAGCUGCUGUCUCAAGGCAGCGAUAGCACCACGGCUGCUCGUUGGGAGGUGG